rnacentral:lncRNA from 1 species
ACCUUAAAACUGUCGUGUCAACGUGAGCACAUUGCAUGGCCCUCCCUUUUCACCCCACGAGUCUUUCUUUCUGUGUUUGGCCAAAUUUCCUUUCAUGACACUAAUCUAAGCCCAUUAAUUUGAGGAGCACCGGAAAGUUUUCCUUUGGCUUUUAUGGAACCAAGUAAAGAUAUCGUGGGCUUCUUCUCAGCUGACAGCCUAAAUUCAUGGGAAAUGGUACAAUCUUCCCCUUCCAUGUGGCGGCUGCCCUGGCUGCCACUGGCUGACCUGUCCCCGUCCUUCUGACAGCCGAUGCCUUUCAUCACCACCAUUCCGGGAGGGCUGUACCCAUCCAAGUCCAUCAUCCUGUCAGGCACUGUCCUGCCCAGUGCUCAGAGGCUGGCGAUGAUGGGGAGGAAAUGGGGCUCAGAACUCAGUGGACAAAGGUCCAGGUAGGCUGCCCACCGCAGGUUCCACAUCAACCUGUGCUCUGGGAGCCACAUCGCCUUCCAC